GAAUAUUGGACAAUGGGGGGAACCCUGAUCCAGCCAUGACGCGUGUGUGAAGAAGGCCUUUUGGUGGUAAAGCACUUUAAGCGAGGAGGAGGCGACUUAGAUUAAGACUCUAGGAUCGUGGACGUUACUCGCAGACGAAGCACCGGCUAACUUUGUGCCAGCAGCCGCGGUAAUACCGAUGGUGCAAGCGGUCAUCGGAUUUACUGGGCGUAAAGCGCGCGUAUGUGGCCAAUUAAGUCAAAUGUGAAAUCACCGAGCUUAACUUGGGAAUUGCAUUCGAUACUGGUUGGCUAGAGUAUGGGAGAGGAUGGUAUAAUUCCAGGUGUAGCGGUGAAAUGCGUAGAGAUCUGGAGGAAUACCGAUGGCGAAGGCAGCCAUCUGGCCUAAUACUGACACUGAGGUGCGAAAGCAUGGGGAGCAAACA
rnacentral:rRNA from 1 species